UACGUAGGGUGCAAGCGUUGUCCGGAAUUAUUGGGCGUAAAGAGCUCGUAGGCGGUCUGUCGCGUCGGAUGUGAAAACCCAGGGCUCAACCCUGGGCCUGCAUUCGAUACGGGCAGACUAGAGUUCGGUAGGGGAGACUGGAAUUCCUGGUGUAGCGGUGAAAUGCGCAGAUAUCAGGAGGAACACCGGUGGCGAAGGCGGUGAGCUGGGCAGUAGCUGACACUGAGGCGCGACAGCGUGGGGAGCAAACAGG
rnacentral:rRNA from 1 species